rnacentral:rRNA from 1 species
GACGAACGCUGGCGGCGUGCCUAAUACAUGCAAGUCGAGCGGAAGUUGAAGAGCUUGCUCUUCAACUUUAGCGGCGGACGGGUGGGUAACACGUGGGCAACCUGCCCUGCAGAUCGGGAUAACUCCGGGAAACCGGUGCUAAUACCGAAUAGUUUUCGCCACCUCCUGGUGGCGUACGGAAAGACGGUUUCGGCUGUCACUGCAGGAUGGGCCCGCGGCGCAUUAGCUAGUUGGUGGGGUAACGGCCCACCAAGGCGACGAUGCGUAGCCGACCUGAGAGGGUAAUCGGCCACACUGGGACUGAGACACGGCCCAGACUCCUACGGGAGGCAGCAGUAGGGAAUCUUCCGCAAUGGACGAAAGUCUGACGGAGCAACGCCGCGUGAGUGACGAAGGUUUUCGGAUCGUAAAACUCUGUUGUGAGGGAAGAACAAGUACCAACUAACUACUGGUACCUUGACGGUACCUCACCAGAAAGCCACGGCUAACUACGUGCCAGCCGCCGCAGUAAAAC